UACGAAGGGGGCUAGCGUUGUUCGGAUUUACUGGGCGUAAAGCGCACGUAGGCGGAUCUUUAAGUCAGAGGUGAAAUCCCAAGGCUCAACCUUGGAACUGCCUUUGAUACUGGGGAUCUUGAGUCCGGGAGAGGUGAGUGGAACUGCGGGUGUAGAGGUGAAAUUCGUAGAUAUUCGCAAGAACACCAGUGGCGAAGGCGGCUCACUGGCCCGGUACUGACGCUAAGGCGCGAAAGCGUGGGGAGCGAACAGG
rnacentral:rRNA from 1 species